rnacentral:rRNA from 1 species
AGAGUUUGAUCCUGGCUCAGAUUGAACGCUGGCGGAAUGCUUUACACAUGCAAGUCGAACGGUAGAGGGGGCAACCCCUUGAGAGUGGCGAACGGGUGAGUAAUAUAUCGGAACGUGCCCAGUCGUGGGGGAUAACGUAGCGAAAGUUACGCUAAUACCGCAUACGAUCUAAGGAUGAAAGCGGGGGAUCGCAAGACCUCGCGCGAUUGGAGCGGCCGAUAUCAGAUUAGGUAGUUGGUGGGGUAAAGGCUCACCAAGCCAACGAUCUGUAGCUGGUCUGAGAGGACGACCAGCCACACUGGAACUGAGACACGGUCCAGACUCCUACGGGAGGCAGCAGUGGGGAAUUUUGGACAAUGGACGCAAGUCUGAUCCAGCCAUUCCGCGUGCAGGAUGAAGGCCCUCGGGUUGUAAACUGCUUUUGUACGGAACGAAAAGGUUUCCAUUAAUACUGGGGGCUCAUGACGGUACCGUAAGAAUAAGCACCGGCUAACUACGUGCCAGCAGCCGCGGUAAUACGUAGGGUGCAAGCGUUAAUCGGAAUUACUGGGCGUAAAGCGUGCGCAGGCGGUUAUGUAAGACAGAGGUGAAAUCCCCGGGCUCAACCUGGGAACUGCCUUUGUGACUGCAUAGCUAGAGUACGGUAGAGGGGGAUGGAAUUCCGCGUGUAGCAGUGAAAUGCGUAGAUAUGCGGAGGA